GGGUGCAAUCAUACUAGCACUAAUGCACUGGAUACCAUCAAAAUUUUAAAGUUAAGCGUGCUUGGGCGAGAGUAGUACUAGGAUGGGUGGCCUCCUGGGAAGUCCUCGUAUUGCACCCC
rnacentral:rRNA from 1 species